rnacentral:rRNA from 1 species
UACGUAGGGGGCAAGCGUUGUCCGGAAUUACUGGGCGUAAAGGGCUCGUAGGUGGCCAACUAAGUCAAACGUGAAAUCCCUCGGCUUAACCGGGGAACUGCGUCUGAUACUGGAUGGCUUGAGUUUGGGAGAGGGAUGCGGAAUUCCAGGUGUAGCGGUGAAAUGCGUAGAUAUCUGGAGGAAUACCGGUGGCGAAGGCGGCAUCCUGGACCGGCAUUGACGCUGAGGAGCGAAAGCCAGGGGAGCAAACGGG